UACGUAGGGUGCGAGCGUUUGUCCGGAAUUAUUGGGCGUAAAGAGCUUGUAGGCGGUUUGUCGCGUCUGCUGUGAAAAUCCGGGCGUCAACCCGGACUUGCAGUGGGUACGGCAGACUAGAGUGUGGUAGGGGAGACGUGGAAGUUCCGAUGGUGUAGCGGUGGAAAAUGCGCAGAUAUCAGGAGGAACACCGAUGGCGAAGGCAGGAUCUCUGGGCCACUACUGACGCUGAGAAGCGAAAGCAUGGGGAGCGAACAGG
rnacentral:rRNA from 1 species